CCGUCCAGGAGAUCCGAUUAGGGUUCAAUGAGGGGCAUAGAUCCGCGUCGUCUCAAGCCAAUUGAACUUCUCAUUCAUCCUCUUCAAUUCGUUUGCUGGAGAGUGAUCGGUUGCUCUUCAUCAACCGGAUUGGAGUAGGCGAUGGCACCUGGAAAGGACCAAAUCUAGGUUGUUCUUGUUCUGGAUUGGAGGAAGGCAUCGGAUCAAGGUAUUGGUAGAUUUCUCUCCUGCCGAUCACUGCUUCUCCACUUCUUGAAGCUGUGGAGGUCACGGGUGAGGAGGCAAGGGACUAUUGAGGUGAGUUUUGUAUUAUGAAUUAGGGUUUAAGCAAAUCAUUUGCUGUAUGGUUGGAUUAUGGAUUUAUUCUAGGGAGGAUAGGUGUGUGUGUGUGCUUGUAGCUUAUGGACAGGGGUCAUGGGGUUGUGAGCUACUGGAUUAGCUGCUUCAUCUUAAGGACUUGGAUUCGGGACGAG